rnacentral:rRNA from 1 species
CAUGUAGGCGGUCUGCCAAGUUCGGAGUGACAGUCACCAGCUUAACUGGUGAAGGACUUCGAAAACUGGCGGACUUGAGAGCGAAAGAGGGACACGGAAUUCCGGGUGGAGCAGUGAAAUGCGUAGAGAUCCGGAGGAACACCAAAGGCGAAGGCAGUGUCCUGGCUCGUUUCUGACGCUGAGGUGCGAAAGCUAGGGGAGCGAACGGGAUUAGAUACCCCGGUAGUCCUGGCCGUAAACGAUGACCACCAGGCGUGGGAGGGAUCGACCCCUUCCGUGCCGGAGUCAACACAUUAAGUGGUCCGCCUGGGGAGUACGGUCGCAAGACUAAA